rnacentral:rRNA from 1 species
UUGCUAGUAAUCGUAGGUCAGCAUACUACGGUGAAUACGUUCCCGGGCCUUGCACACACCGCCCGUCAAACCAUGAGAGUUGGCAACACCCGAAGUCGGUAGUCUAACCGCAAGGAGGACGCUGCCGAAGGUGGGAUUAGCGACUGGGGUGAAGUCGUAACAAGGUAAC